rnacentral:misc_RNA from 1 species
GGAAGGAUCAUUAUUGAAUGUAUUCUUUAUCUAUGUGCACUAAACAUUGAGAGUCAGUUAAUCGGAUUCAUUUAUUUGAACCGGAUAAUGAUUUCUCAUUAAUUUUACAUAUAUGAUUAUGAUAAACAAACCAUACUUUUUAAGUAUCCUAUACAACUUUUAGCAAUGGAUCUCUUGGCUCUCGCAACGAUGAAGAACGCAGCGAAAUGCGAUACGUAAUGUGAAUUGCAACGCCCGUGAAUCAUCUAAUCUUUGAACGCAAAUGGCACUGCCUGGUUCUCCAGACAGUAUAUCUGUUUGAGUAUGGGUUUUACCUCAACAACAUGUUGAAUUUUGGUUUCUCUAUGUGCAUUGCAAAUAUAGUGAAACUUAAAUGCAGAUAAACUUGUUCACAAUGAUAUAUUUGUACAGUGUACGGAUACUUUGUGGAUUUAACAAAUUGCUACCAUCUCAAAUCAGAUAAGAUUACCCGCUGAACUUAAGCAUAUUAAUAAGCGGAGGAAAAGAAACUAACAAGGAUUCCCCUAGUAACGGCGAGCGAAGAGGGAAUAGCUCAAAUUUAAAAUCUCUUUGGAGAGUUGUAGUUUAAAGAAGUGUUUUCGAUAAUCACAUUCGUUUAAAAUCCUUUGGAACAAGGUAUCGAAGAGGGUUAGAAUCCCGUUUUUGAACGGAUGUUGAUUACAAUGUGAUACACUUUCGAAGAGUCGGGUUGUUUGGUAUUGCAGCCCUAAUUGGGUGGUAUAUUUCAUCUAAAGCUAAAUACAGGCGAGAGACCGAUAGCGAACAAGUACCGUGAGGGAAAGAUGAAAAGAACUUUGAAAAGAGAGUUAAAAGUACGUGAAAUUGCUAAAAGGGAAACGAUUGACGUUAGCAUUAUUACUUGGAAAUCAAUUGUUUUGGGUAACUGAAACGGUGCACUUUCCAAGUAAAAUGUCAACAACAGUUUUGUGCUUUGAAUAAAGCUGUAUGAAGGUAACUACCAUUUUGGUAGUGUUAUAGCAUGCAGUUAUACAAAGGGCAAGACUGAGGAAUGCAGUGUAGGCCUUGUGCAGGUUUGACAAGGUUUGAGUAAUAUGAUAUAUAAAACAGCAUGCUGAUUUGUGUAUGAUAAUUAUUCAAUACCUUGACCAAAUUCUUCUACACUAAAGUUGUUGAUGGAAUAACGUUAAACGACCCGUCUUGAAACACGGACCAAGGAGUCUAACAAAUAUGCGAGUAUUUGAGUGUUAAACUUAAAUGCGUAAUGAAAGUGAGACAAUGGGAUAAUUAAAUUGCACCAUUGACCAAUCAGGAUUUUUAAUGAUAGAUUUGAGUAGGAGCAUAUAUGUUGGGACCCGAAAGAUGGUGAACUAUUCCUGAAUAGGGUGAAGCCAGAGGAAACUCUGGUGGAAGCUCGUAGCGAUUCUGACGUGCAAAUCGAUCGUCAAAUUUGGGUAUAGGGGCGAAAGACUAAUCGAACCAUCUAGUAGCUGGUUCCCUC